ensembl:snRNA U4 U4 spliceosomal RNA
AGCUUUGCAAAGUGGCAGUAUCGUAGCCAAUGAGGUUUAUCCAAGGCAUGAUUAUUGCUAAUUAAAGUGUUGGUGUGAAAGAGCACUGUACUCUGAGAGAAACACUGCAUUUGUGCAAGCUAGACUAG